GAGCUAUGAGGACACUAUGAUGUUGAUCAAUUUGAAGUGAUUGUAUUAUACGCUAUUCUGAGCCCCAU
rnacentral:snoRNA from 1 species